rnacentral:rRNA from 1 species
GCAGGCUGCAACUCGCCUGCAUGAAGUCGGAGUUGCUAGUAAUCGCAGAUCAGAAUGCUGCGGUGAAUGCGUUCCCGGGUCUUGUACACACCGCCCGUCACACCAUGGAAGUUGGGGGCGCCCGAAGUCGGCCGGGAGAUAGGCUGCCUAAGGUGAAAACCAAUGACUGGGGUGAAGUCGUAACAAGGUACC